UGGCAGGUACAGAGGGAUGCUACCGGGCGACCGGAUGCGGAUCUCGAAAGCCUGUCCCAGUUCGGACUGGAGUCUGCAACCCGACUCCACGAAGCUGGAUUCGCUAGUAAUCGCGCAUCAGCCAUGGCGCGGUGAAUACGUUCCCGGGCCUUGUACACACCGCCCGUCAAGCCAUGGGAGCCGGGGGCGCCUGAAGUCCGGGACCGCGAGGACCGGCCUAGGGCGAAACUGGUAACUGGGGCUAAGUCGUAACAAGGUACC
rnacentral:rRNA from 1 species